rnacentral:rRNA from 1 species
UACGGUGGGGGUAAGCGUUGUUCGGAAUUACUGGGCGUAAAGGGCUCGUAGGCGGCCAACUAAGUCAGACGUGAAAUCCCUCAGCUUAACUGGGGAACUGCGUCUGAUACUGGAUGGCUUGGAUUCGGGAGAGGAAUGCGGAAUUCCAGGUGUAGCGGUGAAAUGCGUAGAUAUCUGGAGGAACACCGGUGGCGAAGGCGGCAUUCUGGACCGAUAUUGACGCUGAGGAGCGAAAGCCAGGGGAGCAAACGGG